rfam:Cricetulus griseus cell line CHO-K1, whole genome shotgun sequence.
CAGUGUUCAGGUCAUUGUGGGCUGUUAGCAAAGAGGCCAGUAAGUCUCUUAGGCCCUGUCUGUUUUAUACCAGAGGUGUGGACUUCAGCUACUUCAUUUUGGCUCUCUAAGACAAUGAAUUCUGCAACUGCAUCUUAUCUUUUCAGGUCUACAUCUGUU